UACGUAGGGUGCAAGCGUUAAUCGGAAUACUGGGCGUAAAGCGUGCGCAGGCGGUUUUGUAAGUUUGUCGUGAAAAUCCCCCGGGCUCAACCUGGGAAUGGCGAUGAAGACUGCAAGGCUAGAAUCUGGCAGAGGGGGGGUAGAAUUCCACGUGUAGCAGUGAAAUGCGUAGAUAGUCAGGAGGAACACCGGUGGCGAAGGCGG
rnacentral:rRNA from 1 species